rnacentral:lncRNA from 1 species
GGAUAUGGUCGUUAAGCACUGUGACGUCACCAAUGACGCUGUGUUAGGCAAGAAGGUCAGGAGCGGACGGGGUCGCCUCAGUGUCGGGCUGACAGCCAACAGACGUAGUUCCUUAGGCGGUGUCCCGCUUCUUACAUCAUUUGCAGCUACACCGGUCAUCAGAAGUCCACACUCGCCUGUUAUGUAAUUCGCGGAACCAAUUUCAUCCGAAUUACUUUGGCUAAGACCGGGUAUUUGGCAAGUUAAGCAGAUUUGAAUUUCUUCAGUCUUGAUAUCUGGUCUGGCUCGACAUUGGCCACGAGUCUUCUUGAGAAAUAACUUUAAAGUGAACGGAGGACUAGUCAGUCACAAGGCACGGAACUAGUUCUGGCGUGACGUAGCUGCAAGUCUCGAUAGAGGUGGUUGGACGGUGUUGAACACGGCGCCUGACAACGUUGCAGGAAUAUCUGAAAGAAAAG